UACGUAGGGGGCAAGCGUUGUCCGGAUUUAUUGGGCGUAAAGAGCGUGUAGGCGGCCAGGUAGGUCUGGUGUGAAAACUCGAGGCUCAACCUCGAGACGCCGGUGGAAACCGUAUGGCUAGAGUCCGGAAGAGGAGAGUGGAAUUCCUGGUGUAGCGGUGAAAUGCGCAGAUAUCAGGAAGAACACCCGUGGCGAAGGCGGCUCUCUGGGACGUGACUGACGCUGAGACGCGAAAGCGUGGGGAGCAAACAGG
rnacentral:rRNA from 1 species